UAAAGUCUGGCCUGCCCAUUGGGAACUAAAAGGCCGCGGUAUUAUGACCGUGCAAAGGUAGCAUAAUCAUUAGUUUUUUAAUUGAAGGCUAGAAUGAAUGGUUGAACAAGAAAUAAUCUGUCUUAAAUUAAUAUAUUGAAUUUAACUUUUAAGUGAAAAGGCUUAAAUAAUCUGGAG
rnacentral:rRNA from 1 species